rnacentral:rRNA from 1 species
ACGGGAGGCAGCAGUGGGGAAUAUUGGGCAAUGGGCGAAAGCCUGACCCAGCAACGCCGCGUGAGUGAAGAAGGGUUUCGGCUCGUAAAGCUCUGUCCUAUGGGACGAAGAAAUGACGGUACCAUAGGAGGAAGCCCCGGCUAACUACGUGCCAGCAGCCGCGGUAAUACGUAGGGGGCGAGCGUUGUCCGGAAUGAUUGGGCGUAAAGGGCGCGUAGGCGGCCCGGUAAGUCUGGAGUGAAAGUCCUGCUUUCAAGGUGGGAAUUGCUUUGGAUACUGUCGGGCUCGAGUGCAGGAGAGGAAAGCGGAAUUACCGGUGUAGCGGUGAAAUGCGUAGAGAUCGGUAGGAACACCAGUGGCGAAGGCGGCUUACUGGACCGUAACUGACGCUGAGGCUCGAAAGCGUGGGGAGCAAACAGGAUUAGAUACCCUGGUA